rnacentral:rRNA from 1 species
UACGUAGGUGGCAAGCGUUGUCCGGAUUUACUGGGCGUAAAGCGCGCGCAGGCGGACCGGUCAGUCCGGGGUGAAAUCUCACGGCUCAACCGUGAGAGAUCCCUGGAUACUGCUGGUCUUGAGGGGCUCAGAGGAGAGUGGAAUUCCGGGUGUAGUGGUGGAAUGCGUAGAUAUCCGGAGGAACACCAGUGGCGAAAGCGGCUCUCUGGGGGCAACCUGACGCUGAGGCGCGAAAGCGUGGGGAGCGAACCGG